CCCUUAGAUGUUCUGGGCUGCACGCGUGCUACACUGAUUAUUUCAACAAGUGUUUUAACUGGAGAGUUUGCGUAAUCCUGAAAUGUUAUCGUGAUGGGAGUAGAGUAUUGUAUUUGUUAAUCUUUAACGAGGAAUUCCUAGUAAGUGUAGGUUUAUAAGUUGUUCUGAUUACGUCCCUGCCCUUUGUACACACCGCCCGUCGCUCCUACCGAUUGAAUGUUCCGGUGAGCUCUUCGGACUGCGCGGUCUGCAGUUUCUGCGUUCCGUGCGGAAAGUUGCGCAAACCUUAACAUUUAGAGGAAGGAGAAGUCGUAACA
rnacentral:rRNA from 1 species